GGCGGUUAGAUAANUCUGAAGUUAAAGGCUGUGGCUUAACCNUAGUACGCUUUGGAAACUGUUUAACUUGAGUGCAGAAGGGGAGAGUGGAAUNCCAUGUGUAGCGGUGAAAUGCGUAGAUAUAUGGAGGAACACCGGUGGCGAAAGCGGCUCUCUGGUCUGUAACUGACGCUGAGGCUCGAAAGCAUGNGGAGCAAACAGGAUUAGAUACCCUGGUAGUNCACGCCGUAAACGAUGAGUGCUAGGUGUUGGGUCCUUUCCGGGACUCAGUGCCGCAGCUAACGCAUUAAGCACUCCGCCUGGGGAGUACGACCGCAAGGUUGAAACUCAAAGGAAUUGACGGGGGCCCGCACGAGCGGUGGAGCAUGUGGUUUAAUUCGAAGCAACGCGAAGAACCUUACCAGGUCUUGACAUCCCGGUGCCCGUCCUAGAGAUAGGAUUUUGCUUCGGCACACCGGUGACAGGUGGUGCAUGGUUGUCGUCAGCUCGUGUCGUGAGAUGUUGGGUUAAGUCCCGCAACGAGCGCAACCCUUAUUGUUAGUUGCCAUCAUUCAGUUGGGCACUCUAGCGAGACUGCCGGUAAUAAACCGGAGGAAGGUGGGGAUGACGUCAAAUCAUCAUGCCCCUUAUGACCUGGGCUACACACGUGCUACAAUGGCUGGUACAACGAGUCGCAAGUCGGUGACGGCAAGCUAAUCUCUUAAAGCCAGUCUCAGUUCGGAUUGUAGGCUGCAACUCGCCUACAUGAAGUCGGAAUCGCUAGUAAUCGCGGAUCAGCACGCCGCGGUGAAUACGUUCCCGGGCCUUGUACACACCGCCCGUCACACCACGAGAGUUUGUAACACCCGAAGUCG
rnacentral:rRNA from 1 species